rnacentral:rRNA from 1 species
AUGUCUCGCCACCACCACCACGACCCGGCCCCGCCGCCCUGCUGCUCCUGCUGCGCCUGCGCCUGCGGCUGCUCCCCGCCGGCCCCCGCCCCGGCGCCGUGCGGCUACUACCCCGCGCCGCCUCCCCAGCCGGCGCCCGCGUCGGACCAGCUCCUCCACGCCAUCGCCGCGCAUCUCCUGCUAAGCUCCGCUCCCCCGCCUCCCACGCCGCCCCAGGCCCAACCGCCGCCCCAGCCCCACCCGCAGCACCAGCCCCACCCUCAGCCGCCGCCGAAUCCCGCCGCGCACCACGCGAAUCUCUACGCCUCCUACGCUUACCAGUACCAGCACCAGCAGCAGCCGGGAUCCGCCCCCCACGCGGCCUAUCCCCAGCCGCCCGCGGCCGCCCCUGCGCCGCCGCCGCCGCAGCAUCAGCACCAGCAGCCGAACCCGCCCGACCACGGCCAGCUCCUGCUCCACUCUCUCCUGCGCCGCGUGGCCGCGCUCGAGACGACCUUGCCGCACUGCUUCCCCUCCCCUCCCGCGCCGCACCCCCAGCAGCCCAACCCUCGCCGGCACCACCGCGCGGGCGCGCACCAGGAGGGCCCGCGCUCGCGCUCGCCCUCGCCCCCGCCGCGUCGCGCGCGCCGGGGGCCGCAGCCGCCGACCGAGAGGGAGCUCGCGGCGCGCACCAUCCAGGAGCACUUCCGGCGCUUCCUGGCGCGGCGCUCCCGCACGCUGCGCCAGCUCAAGGAGCUCGCCAUGCUCCGCUCCAAGGCCGCGUCUCUCCGGGCGUCCCUCUCCGGCUCCGGCCGCCGCCGGUGCAAGGACCCGAUGGCUAUCUCGGAGGCCGCCCUGGGCAUGCUCUACCGCCUCGACGGGAUCCAGGGAGGGGACCCCAUGAUCCGGGAGGGGAAGCACGCCGUGAGCCGGGAGCUCGGCAGGAUACUGGAGUUCGUUGACAAGGUGCUCCUCAAAGAGCAGGAGGAGAUGGGCAUGGAUGGCGCAUUCGACGAUUAUCCUGAAGGUUGUCAUGGGAUGAAUCGCCCAACUGUGAACAGGAAGGUAGGUUUCCGCGGUAAUGAGGACAACACCGAGGCUGAUGAGAGCUCUGAGAGCUCGAGUUCUACCGAGGCUGCUGAGACGAAGGCUGCAAACAGCAAGAAGAGUGCCAAUGGCAAGCCUGGGCUUGCAGCCCCAGUGCCUGUACACAUGGAGUCAAGGAGAACUGGAGGGGAAAUGUGA